rnacentral:rRNA from 1 species
GAUGAACGCUAGCGGCAGGCUUAAUACAUGCAAGUCGUGGGGCAGCAGGUCUGUAGCAAUACAGAUGCUGGCGACCGGCAAACGGGUGCGUAACACGUACGCAACCUUCCCGUUACUGGGGAAUAGCCCAGGGAAACUUGGAUUAAUACCCCAUAUUAUAUUGGUUAGGCAUCUGACUGAUAUCAAAGCUUCGGCGGUAACGGAUGGGCGUGCGGUUGAUGAGUUAGUUGGGGGGGUAACGGCCCACCAAGCCUACGAUCAAUAGCUGCUGUGAGAGACUGAUCAGCCACACGGGAAGUGAGAAACGGGCCCGACUCCUACGGGAGGCAGCAGUAAGGAAUAUUGGGCAAUGGACGAAAGUCUGACCCAGCCAUGCCGCGUGAAGGAUGAAGGUCCUCUGGAUUGUAAACUUCUUUUAUCUGGGGCGAAAAUCGGUUAUUCUUAGCCGCUUGACAGUACCAGAUGAAUAAGCACCGGCUAACUCCGUGCCAGCAGCCGCCGUAACAC